UGCCCGAGACGGAUUGGCGGCAGCGAGAAGGCAGUGCACUGUGCGAGUUACUUUAAGGCUUUGAAAAACCUGGCAAUGAAUUAUUCUGGCUGAGUUCUGUUGCUUAUCAAGCAAAAAUCUGAGUUGCAAUCAGAGUUCUUCAAAGAUCUCGACAAAUACACUCCUCGCUUCCUGGAGAAGUUCAAGACCCAGAGGGGGAAAGUGUCGGACAGAAACUUGAAUAUCUGCAGCAAGUCACACCUGGGAGUACAGAUGUGACUGGGAGGUGAACAGCAGUCCUCCGUGGCCCUCCCGUCAUCCUUGGAGAUGACAACGCAGACUUCUUCAAGAAUUUGAGGUUCAGGAGCAGCCAAUAUGAUGCAGGUGUGACGGCUGAAGAUGGUAGGUACCUGUUCAGCCUCCUGUGGUAGGAGCACAUUUCCCAGAAGCAGCAGUGACAAAGAAAUGUGGAUGUUUACCACGAAUAUGGUUGGUUGCCCACGUAUUAAACUUUGGUCUUUCUUUAUUGAAGGUGUGAGUUUAGGAUGGCAUGAAGCUUCGACUUGACCCUAUGGAAACACAGCAGAUGCCACCAAAGGGUCCUGAUCGGGGCGUGUUGUGAUGCAACUGCAUCGACCUGUUCUCAGGCCCUUCUACAUUCUGUUGUUUACAUUUGCUCUAUUAUUGUUGUUCCAUUCCAAUAUCAUCCCUAUUUGACUCUGAUGACCUUCUGGACGUGUCCCACGCCUCCAUUGGGAACCUGACAGUGCUGAAGACAUCGUGGCCUCCUCACUCGCUGGACCUGGAGUCUACAACUACUGCCAUCGUUUUGGGAGGAACAGUCGUGAUGGGUGACCGUGAUAAUCUUCCCCGUGCCGUGUGGCUACUCUUCGGACUUAUUUACCCCUGAAUUUGGAGUAUCCUCAACGAGUGAGGAACACCUUCUGAAUUUAUUCAUAGAGUGCUUCUCACUUGGACCAAAAACCCUAAAAUACAAUCACUCAAAAAUCUACUGAUGCCGUAAGGGACUGUGUUCAUGAUGUGCAGUCAGGCCCGAGAACUUCACCCUUCUAUCUCCAAUAGAACUCUUUUAUAGAAAAUGUCUGUUUUUGUUGUUUUUCUGUAGUGAAAUUUAGCAAAUGCCGAAAACGCUGUGU